rnacentral:rRNA from 1 species
UGAGGAAUAUUGGGCAAUGCCCGCAAGGGUGACCCAGCAACGCCGCGUGGAGGAUGAAUGUCGUAAGAUUGUAAACUCCUGUUAGAGGGGAAGAAUAGUACCGGUUGGACCGGUAUAUGACUGUACCCUCAGAGAAAGCCCCGGCUAACUACGUGCCAGCAGCCGCGGUAAUACGUAGGGUGCGAGCGUUAAUCGGAAUUACUGGGCGUAAAGCGUGCGCAGGCGGUUUUGUAAGACAGAUGUGAAAUCCCCGGGCUUAACCUGGGAACUGCGUUUGUGACUGCAAGGCUGGAGUACGGCAGAGGGGGGUGGAAUUCCACGUGUAGCAGUGAAAUGCGUAGAGAUGUGGAGGAACACCGAUGGCGAAGGCAGCCCCCUGGGCCUGUACUGACGCUCAUGCACGAAAGCGUGGGGAGCAAACA